rnacentral:misc_RNA from 1 species
CAACCCUUAAGCCUAGCUUAGUGUUGGGAGCCUACUGUAUUGUAGCUCCCCAAAUCCAACGGCGGAUCUGUGGUAUCCUCUGAGCGUAGUAAUUUUUAUCUCGCUUUUGUUAGGUGCUGCAGCUCUCAGCCGCUAAACCCCCCAAUUUUUAAU